rnacentral:piRNA from 1 species
UGAACCAUGGGAAAUACUGACUGCUAAUU